UACAGAGGUCCCAACCGUUGUUCGGAUUCAUUGGGCGUAAAGGGUGCGUAGGCGGCGGGGUAAGUCAGGUGUGAAAUCUCGGGGCUCAACCCCGAAACUGCACUUGAUACUGCCUCGCUUGAGUACUGGAGAGGAGACUGGAAUUUACGGUGUAGCAGUGAAAUGCGUAGAGAUCAUAAGGAAGACCAGUGGCGAAGGCGGGUCUCUGGACAGUUCCUGACACUGAGGCACGAAGGCCAGGGGAGCAAACGGG
rnacentral:rRNA from 1 species